GACGAACGCUGGCGGCGUGCCUAAUACAUGCAAGUCGAGCGAAUCUGAUGGGAGCUUGCUCCUUGAUGAUUAGCGGCGGACGGGUGAGUAACACGUGGGUAACCUGCCUGUAAGACUGGGAUAACUCCGGGAAACCGGGGCUAAUACCGGAUAACUUUUUUCUUCGCAUGAGGGAGAAUUGAAAGAUGGCUUCGGCUAUCACUUACAGAUGGACCCGCGGCGCAUUAGCUAGUUGGUGAGGUAACGGCUCACCAAGGCGACGAUGCGUAGCCGACUUGAGAGGGUGAGCGGCCACACUGGAACGGAGACACGGCCCAGACUCCUCCGGGGGGCAGCAGUAGGGAAUCUUCCGCAAUGGGCGAAAGUUUGACGGAGCAACGCCGCGUGAGUGAUGAAGGUUUUCGGAUCGUAAAACUCUGUUUUUAGGGAAGAACAAGUUUCGUUCGAAUAGGGCGGUCCCUUGACGGUACCAAACCAGAAGGCCCCGGCUACCCCCGU
rnacentral:rRNA from 1 species